rnacentral:lncRNA from 1 species
UAAUACUUAAUAUAUUUUUUAUGAUUUUUAUUAUUACAUAUCUAUAUCUAUAUACUUUUUUAUUUAUUUAUUUAUUAAAAUCAAGAAAACACCCAUGUACCACAAUACAUACCAUGGGAAAUUACACAAUAAUGCCAAAACAACAGAAAAUGUUAUACUAAAAAAUUACAAAACAUAUAAAUCAACCAACAAGGCAAUGAACAAACUUCAAAAAAUAAUAGAACACAGAAGAAUUGUAGAUAAACAAAUCAAUGAAAUCAACAGUGAAAGAUCUCACAACUUGGGGAAUAUGGUAUAAGCAAACCAUAUAAAAGCAUGAAAAGCACCAACAGAGGAGACAGGCACACUAUUAUCAACAUGCCAGACCAGUCCCAAAUCAGACAAAAGCAAUUUAAGCUCAUUUUUCCCCUAACAUGUUUCAGACAAGAAAAGAGAACAUGACCAACAUCUCCUCUCUCCUCCAUCCCACAGUUAUAUAUAUGAUAAUCCCUAAGCUUAAAGCACCACAAAUACUGGCAAAACUUGCCAUGAAUGUUUAAGAACUGAGUGAAAAUAAAAUCAGAAUUGAAAAACUUAUACUCUAAUCAGUGAUAAACAGAAGCAAAAAAUUCUUUG